GUCCCCUUCGUCUAGAGGCCCAGACACCGCCCUUUCACGGCGGUAACAGGGGUUCGAAUCCCCUAGGGGACG
rnacentral:ncRNA from 14 species